AUGCGCUCCUCCUGCUGGGGACAUGCUGUCCACGAGGGACUCCUGCACGAGACUCUCAGCACAGGAUUCCUCUCAGCUGCCCUGGAGUCAGUGUCAUCCAGAAAAGAGAGACAAGAAAUCACAGCAUUAAAAGAAGGAGGCAGCAAGGAUUCUCCCUCCUGCAACAAUUCUUCAUCCACAGGAGCUUCUGUAAGUGCUGUUUUGUGUCUCCCCUCAGCUUCCCAGAGCUGUCAUACAGUUCAAACUGUCCUUAGCACAACUGGGUUGAAGUGAGAUUUUAAUUAAUCCAGUGGAAUCAGGAAGAGGGCUUGAGCACGGCUACGGUGCAAGAUACACUUGAGAGAAUUUUUUACUGUGUCUGAACCAAUCUUGAGUUAAUCCUGAAGCUAAUUUGAGAUCAAAAGCACAGAGACUGUUUGAAAUCUUAUCUGAAUCAGACUGCCAGAUCAUUUGAGGCAAACAUUAAAUAAGAUUGCUUCAAUUACUCCAAUCAGUCAAUCUUGGUAACUAAGAUUGAGUUCUUCAUUUCAGAGGCUGAUCAACUACUAUGAGAUUCAGGUAAUAAAUGGGAUAAAUCAACUGGCA
rnacentral:lncRNA from 1 species